rnacentral:rRNA from 1 species
GACGAACGCUGGCGGCGUGCUUAACACAUGCAAGUCGAACGGAAAGGCCCUGCUUUUGUGGGGUGCUCGAGUGGCGAACGGGUGAGUAACACGUGAGUAACCUGCCCUUGACUUUGGGAUAACUUCAGGAAACUGGGGCUAAUACCGGAUAGGAGCUCCUGCUGCAUGGUGGGGGUUGGAAAGUUUCGGCGGUUGGGGAUGGACUCGCGGCUUAUCAGCUUGUUGGUGGGGUAGUGGCUUACCAAGGCUUUGACGGGUAGCCGGCCUGAGAGGGUGACCGGCGACAUUGGGACUGAGAUACGGCCCAGACCCCUACGGGAGGCAGCAGUGGGGAAUAUUGCACAAUGGGCGGAAGCCUGAUGCAGCAACGCCGCGUGCGGGAUGACGGCCUUCGGGUUGUAAACCGCUUUCGCCUGUGACGAAGCGUGAGUGACGGUAAUGGGUAAAGAAGCACCGGCUAACUACGUG